rnacentral:lncRNA from 7 species
GGAAGUAAUGCUUCUUGCUGCUGAUGAGCAAUGCUAGUUCCAAAUGUUGGUGCUAUGUAGAAUUUUGAGGAUGGGUGCUGAAGGUUACCUGUUUAAUUUUGAGAGUUGGAGGUGCCAAGGAAGUUUAUAUCUGCUUCUGGUUUGGAUAAUAUCGAAGCACCGUUUCAUAGUGCUUGAACAUGUUGGAUCUAAAUUAGCAAGAGACUCUACAUAAAUAGUGGAUGACUCGGACAGGAAGCCUGUUGCAAUUUGCUGGAAAACUGCCACAUCUUCUGCAGUGGAAAUGAGUUGUGUAAGGCGGCAAUGAACUGGAAAACACACAGUGUAAUUAAAGGAAGCUGGAUCAGUUGGGAAGAGUUUACUGAACAUAAUUUGAAUAGCAGAAGGAAGCCAACUGAAAGAAAGCCAUCCAGUUCCAAAGACAUUCUCCGUCACACUUCAGAUUUAAGUGAUUUAAACUGAGUUUCAAUUUACAUGUUGGAUUUAAUAUCACACUAAUUGCAUAUUAAUUAAAUAGCAACGGAUCAUUUACCAGCCCAUUUAAACUGAUGUAACAACAUCUGCAUAUGAAAUAUGCAGGCACUAUUAUUACAUAGUCCUUAAACCUCGGUAAAUAAGCUUGAGUAAUUAUUAGUACUUCAGCAGUAUAUGGUAGCUAAUGCAUCUCUGCAUAAAUUCAUUGAUGUACUUGAUACAAACUUAUACUGAAUAAUUCUCUUGAGCCUAUGCUCCUGUCCGUCUACAUAAUCACUGGGAACAUUACAAGGCUUGUCUCUUCUUAGUUUUAAAUCACUUUAAACUGUGUCAGAAUCUAAAAAUAAAUGAAAAGAUCUUG